rnacentral:rRNA from 1 species
CAGUCGCCGCGGUAAUACGAAGGGUGCAAGCGCUACUCGGAAUUACUGGGCGUAAAGCGUGCGUAGGUGGUGGUUUAAGUCCGUUGUGAAAGCCCUGGGCUCAACCUGGGAAUUGCAGUGGAUACUGGGUCACUAGAGUGUGGUAGAGGAUAGUGGAAUUUCCGGUGUAGCAGUGAAAUGCGUAGAGAUCGGAAGGAACAUCUGUGGCGAAGGCGACUAUCUGGGCCAACACUGACACUGAGGCACGAAAGCGUGGGGAGCAAACAGGAUUAGAUACCCGAGUAGUCCCUGUCUCUUAUAC